AACUUGUGAACUGCAGGACACAUGAACAUCGACAUUUCGAACGCACAUUGCGGUCCUCGGAUACUGUUCCUGGACCACUCCUGGCUGAGGGUCGUA
rnacentral:rRNA from 1 species